CGGGUAGCGGAACACGUACGCAACCUUCCUUUGACUGGAGAAUAGCCCCUCGAAAGAGGGAUUAAUACUCCGUAACAUAUUGAUAAGGCAUCUUAUUAAUAUUAUAGCUCCGGCGGUUAAAGAUGGGCGUGCGCCUGAUUAGAUAGUUGGCGGGGUAACGGCCCACCAAGUCUGCGAUCAGUAACUGGUGUGAGAGCACGACCAGUCACACGGGCACUGAGACACGGGCCCG
rnacentral:rRNA from 1 species